GGCGGCGAUGCCCGUGGCGUAGCCGCCCGAGCAGAAGAUCAUUGGCUCGUUGAAGGUGUUCCAGAGCUUGAUUCGGUCCCCGAAUAGCCCGAACACCAGGUCCGCGUACUCCACGUAGUCCUUGCUGCACAUGCCAACCGAUUAACGUGUUGCUACAUGAGCUCUCUGUUCUGUUCUGAUCUCCAUUUUUUGCCGGGAACCGUGGAAUUAAGGAAGAGCAUUGGUGGCCUUACAUGAUCUUGUCGCUGAGGAAGCUCCCGUACUUGUCCUCCAGGGCCUGCGGGGUGUCGAAGUGGAAGAUGGUCACGAACGGGACCAGCCCUGCAGCCAGGCAAGGAUCAACAUUUGUCAGAGACAGUAAUUUCUAAUUUUCCUCGCCUGACAAGUGCCAUUAACUGGACUGAAAGCUUAUCACAGCACCUCUGGAGAGAACUUCCUUGAUGAGGCUGUUGUAGAAAUCGACACCUUUCUGGUUUAUACCUCCGGCAAUGGUUCCAGCUGCAGCAAGCACCUCCCGGUCAGACAAAGAACUCAAACAGCGUAGUCUCCAUGCGCUGCUGACACAAAAACACUUACUUGGAAGGAUCCUGCUCCAGGCGAUGGAGAACCGGAAGGUGUCCAUGUUCAUGUCGGUGAUCAGCUGCAGAUCUUCCUGCGCUCACACCACAAAUCCACCGUGAGAUCAAUCAGUCCAAAUUAGUAGCAUAUGAUUGAUUAACGGGCACACUGAAUAAUUAAUUUGUUGUGACACCAUGAUGAUUCAAUCGACCAGGCAAAAGAGCCGCACCUUGUAGCGAUGGUAGAAGUCGUUCGCUAUAUCUGUGGUGCCGUUGUCCGCGGUUUUACCUGCAGCCAGAAUGUUUUUUUGAUCCACCGUCAGUGAAUUUCUUCAUCGGUGGCCAUUUCCCCCAUCCAGGACAAGAAAAAGUUUUUUUUUUAAGAAAGAAAGAGAUCUGACUGUUGUUCUUUGGGUGACGUCAACGGUGGACAAGAUUUCAUCCUGGCUGUUAAGAUGUCACUGUUUCUAAGUUCUAGCUAUUGCUACUUAUGAGGCUUACCAACCUCUUUCCAUGUACAGUAUUUUAGCAUCUAGAGAUUGGUUCCUGACACAGAGAUCCCUUUUUGUUUCUCAAACCAUGGAGACAGAGAGCGAAUUACUUAAAGAGACAGAGCUUACCUGGGGUGUGGCUGAAGGUGUCCCAAGUGGUCUUGCCCCGUUCGAAGGCUCCCUCAUACUGCAAUGCAGGUCAGAAAUGCAGGAUGCUAGUCAGAUUCAAGUCUGAACUCGGUAAUAGAAUUAUAGAAACCAGCAUAUACCAAAUGGGUGUAGCUAUCUAUUUGCAGAUAAUGGAGCAAUGCCAUGCAUGGUAGUACUAGUAGUACCUGGAUGGCCGAGGAGCCGGUGCCGAAGAUGAAGUCCUUGGGGAAGCUGUACCUGCUGAAGGUGGCGCCAUGGAUGCCGCCGCUGCAGGCUAGCAGCAGAGCGGCGAGCAGGAGGGCGGGGAGAAGAAGAACCCUGUCCAUCCCAGCACUGACACUCAUUCCCAGGUCGAGCCUGGAUUGGAUGGUUCUUCUCUCGAACCCCGGCUUGCUGUGACUCUGCUUUGCUCAGUGCUCACCCCUGCAGGUAUUUUAUACAGGCGAGCUAGGAGCAGAGGAGCAGCAGCUGACCAGAUGCUGGGGCCUGGGAGUGAUAGCUCCACGUUAGCGAAUCCUGUCCUCUGAAAGACCAUUAUAAUCACUAGUAAACUGGCCGGGAUGACAGGGCUCUAAAUAAUCCCUUGUCUGCAUGAUUGGAUGGUCGAUGCAGAGUGAGAGACAAGAUCCAUACAUAUAACGAGAGAAUGAAUGGAGCAAAGUCAAUUCGUCCGUCCCUGAUUCAGGAAUAUCAUACUGGAGCAUGUGAUACGCGCCCGCCGUUUCUUUAUACGAGAAAUGUACUUGAUCGGCCGUUAGGAGGUUCAGGUUCCAGUACUUCCUUCCAUACAUUCCCGUUGCGUGUGCUGGGAUUAGCGGCAUGAUCCAAUGAACAAUGAUGCAACUGGAAAUAUGAUACGUUCUGCAGUCUCUGCAACUGGAAAUUGAAGAAAAUGAAAAUGAAAUCCUUAUUCGGAAACCAAUGGGGACGUUCCCGUAGACAUACGUAGAGAUCUCAAGGUGGACCUAACACACUACGAGAGGGCCUAUUCACCUAUACCAACUACUUUGGUGUAGUUGAUUAGUCCCUUUUUUAUUUCUACUUACUUAGUGCAAACUUCCGGGCGGCAGAGCCACUCACGCUAAAGCAAGUCUUGAAUCCGGGCGGCUAUGCCACUCACGUUGAAACAAGACCGUUGUGAUUCCGGGCGAAUCCGCUCACGUUAAAUCACAACUUAUAUGCACUAAGUACUUAGAAAUAACAAGGCCUAACCGGGAGACUUAUAUGAACAAAGUAGUACUAUAUUGCUUUAGAAAUAUUAGUACAAGAGAAAACAUACACACUUUACACUUGCUCACACCUUGUUCUCCACCUUCUUCACUUCCUUAUUCUCUAUUACUUAAGGUGUGAGGCAAGGGCCUCUAUUUAUAAGACUACAUGGCCAUUGAAUCUUUGACAUGUGUCAAGAUUUUAGCCAUUGAUACAAAAUAUCUAAAACCUUCCACACACUUCUACACAAAUAUUUAGGUACUAGAAGGUUUCCUAUUUAUUUAUUUUAAACUCCUAUUCUAGAGUAUUCAAAAACUUUUACAUAAUUCUUCAUGCAUAUCUAAACACCAAAAAGUUUCUUUUUUUAUUUAUUUUAUAUUCUAGAGUAUUCCAUAGUAAUGUUUUUUUUCUUGUAAUAUGAGAACUGUAUUCUCCAACAUAUUUUGAUGUGGACGUCUGGGAGGACCAGAAAGGUAGUAAGAUCACGGCUGGGUUGUUCGCCGGUGACCAUCAGUCGGGAUUUCGAAACGGGUCUCAUCGGUGUCUCAUUAUUCUCCAAUUUCUGGGUCGAUCGAUCAGAUCGUUAAUUCCAACCUUUGACUGCAUGGACCAGACCAGCGAGCAUUGAACAUCGGUGGUUUCCUCGUCAUCCAUCAAAGACAGUACGAUGUGUUUUUAACCGAUGCAGAUGAUGGGAGAGAGGUUUUGAAACUGAGCGUCAAGCUGCAGGCCACGUAGUCACGGAUACUGUCGGGGAUUUUUCUAUGCGCCGCGUUAUUCACAAGGGAACGCUAGCGCGCGUGCUUUUAUUGCCAGCCCCAGGCUCAUGUAGGAGUACUUUUUUUUUUGUUUCUGAAAGUGAGUGUCUGACUACAGUUAUCAUCCCGGCCACGUGCAAUGUUGCCAAGAUCUGGAUUGUAGGCAUGAUGAUUUCCGUGCCGGCAGGACGGGACGGUACAACAGGGGAAAAUCGUACUGCAUCAGGAUGAUCAAUCAGGAUCAGAAUCGAAAAUGAGUAAAGGGUUGAUUUGGACAUAUAUGCAGCUGGGGAACGAUAAGACAGGGUCCACGGCGACAUUCAUGCAUGGCAGCGACGUCGAUCGAACAGCCUGGCUGUGGCCGGGCCUAUACGCACGCACGCGCGUCCCGACGAUGCCAGGGCCAGAGCAGGUGAAUAAUUCGGACAGGAUAUAUUUUCCGUCCAAGAAGAAGAAAAAAAAGCUGUGAAAGCGACGACGACUGACAUAAUUAAGGCUCGUAAUUACGUACACACAUACAUAUUUGUCACACAAAACAAGCUAGACCCGCUCGAUCGAUCGAGCUUAUUUCAUUUGCUGCGACGACGACAGCUUAUACGUACAUGCAUAUAUAUGUAUAUACCGUACGUGGCUCGAGCAGAAUUCUGGUCAUUUCUUGAGGAAACCUUCGAGCCAGUAGCUGGACCUCUUGCGGUAGCGCUUGAGCGUGUCGCGGUCGACGUAGAUGAGGCCGAAGCGGUCCUUGAACCCGUCCCCGAACUCGAAGCAGUCUUGGAACGUCCACGUGAAGUAGCCCUUCACGUUCACGCCCUCCCUGCAUGCACCCAAAAGGAAUUGGGGGUAUUAAAAUCGAACGAAGUAGAUGCAGUAAAUGUGCGCGUGCGCGUGCACGAGACGUACUGGAUGGCCUUGUGCACGAACUUGAGGUGGUUGUAGUGGAACAUGAUCCGGGUCUCGUCCUUGAGCGCCUCCUCGAUCGGGAUCGUGCUGUUGUUCGCCUCGUCAGUCCCUGCCAAAUAAAACCCCCAAAUUUUGACAUCCAUGUGAAUUGUGAUGAAGUGAAAGAGCCUAAAUGGAAUCUGAUGAGAGUUUAUUACCGUUCUCGGUGAUGUAUAUGGCGGGGUUGUUGUAUCUCUUCUUGGCGUACAGCAGCAGCUCCCGCAGCCCCGGCGGGUAGUUGUAGAAGAUCGGCGUGUACGCCUGACAACCAAACAAACAUAACAUUCACACACCGUAUAUAUCCAGGUGCCAUAUCCACAACAGGAAACCUGAAUCUCAACACACGAAUUCGCCAUCACAGGAUAGAAGGAAGAUGUACCGGUGGGCCGAUGGGGACGCCGUCGCGGAAACCAGUCUGGUUAACCCGAUUAUCCGUCCCAUAAGACGGCUUCUCAAGCUUAUUAGGCGCCGGAGCAGCCUUGGCAUAAUUACUCGUGUAAUAAUUCAGCCCGAUAAAAUCAAAACUCCCCUUGAGCAACUCCUUCUGCUCCGUGGUGAACUCCGGCAGCCUCGCCCCGACCAGCCGCCGCAUCGUGCCCGGGUACUCCCCGUACACGAUGGGGUGCAUGAACCACCCGAACAUGAAGUCUAACGCGCGUUUCUGUGCGUGGAGAUCGGCGUCUGAGCUCGGGUCGUAGGGCACGAACCAGUGGGAGACCUGGGUGAUCCCGAUCUGGCCCUGCUGGGAUUGCUGGUACUUUGUUCGGUAGAGCUUCACGGCUUGAGCGUGGGCUAGGAGGAGAGUGUGUGCCGCCGUGUAAGGCUCUGUCCCGGAGUCUCCGGCGGCGCAGGAGGAGGCGUCGGAGCAGCGGCCUGGCGCCAUGAUGCCCGUGCCGUAGCCGUUCAUGCAGAAGACGGUCGGCUCGUUGAACGUGUUCCAGAGCUUUACUCUGUCGCCGAAUAGACUGAAGCACAGGUCCGCGUACUCCACGUAGUCCUUCCUGCAUCCAUGGACAUAUGUACGUGCUCCGUGUUAUCGAUCGAUUUUACGGAUUCAUGAUUCAUCAGUGAGCAUUUUUACGUGUGUUUCGAUCGUAUAUGUUGUUUACACG
rnacentral:lncRNA from 1 species